rnacentral:rRNA from 1 species
UAGUUGGUGGGGUAAAGGCCUACCAAGGCGACGAUCAGUAGCGGGUCUGAGAGGAUGAUCCGCCACACUGGAACUGAGACACGGUCCAGACUCCUACGGGAGGCAGCAGUGGGGAAUUUUGGACAAUGGGGGCAACCCUGAUCCAGCCAUUCCGCGUGAGUGAAGAAGGCCUUCGGGUUGUAAAGCUCUUUCAGCUGGAACGAAACGGUACAUCCUAAUACGGUGUGCUAAUGACGGUACCAGCAGAAGAAGCACCGGCUAACUACGUGCCAGCAGCCGCGGUAAUACGUAGGGUGCGAGCGUUAAUCGGAAUUACUGGGCGUAAAGCGUGCGCAGGCGGAUUGUUAAGCAAGAUGUGAAAUCCCCGGGCUUAACCUGGGAAUGGCAUUUUGAACUGGCAGUCUAGAGUGUGUCAGAGGGGGGUGGAAUUCCACGUGUAGCAGUGAAAUGCGUAGAGAUGUGGAGGAACACCAAUGGCGAAGGCAGCCCCCUGGGAUAACACUGACGCUCAUGUACGAAAGCGUGGGUAGCAAACAGGAUUAGAUACCCUGGUAGUCCACGCCCUAAACGAUGUCAACUGGUUGUUGGGGGAGUGAAAUCCCUUAGUAACGAAGCUAACGCGUGAAGUUGACCGCCUGGGGAGUACGGUCGCAAGAUUAAAACUCAAAGGAAUUGACGGGGACCCGCACAAGCGGUGGAUGAUGUGGAUUAAUUCGAUGCAACGCGAAAAACCUUACCUACCCUUGACAUGUCCAGAAUCCUGCAGAGAUGCGGGAGUGCCCGGAAGGGAAUUGGAACACAGGUGCUGCAUGGCUGUCGUCAGCUCGUGUCGUGAGAUGUUGGGUUAAGUCCCGCAACGAGCGCAACCCUUAUCAUUAGUUGCUACGCAAGGGCACUCUAAUGAGACUGCCGG